CUUAGGCAGCUUACACAUGCAGUCGAACGGAAUCUUCGGAUUUAGUGGCGGACGGGUGAGUAACGCGUGAGAAUCUGGCUUCAGGUCGGGGACAACAGUUGGAAACGACUGCUAAUACCGGAUGUGCCGAGAGGUAAAAGAUUAAUUGCCUGAAGAUGAGCUCGCGUCUGAUUAGCUAGUUGGUGUGGUAAGAGCGCACCAAGGCGACGAUCAGUAGCUGGUCUGAGAGGAUGAUCAGCCACACUGGGACUGAGACACGGCCCAGACUCCUACGGGAGGCAGCAGUGGGGAAUUUUCCGCAAUGGGCGAAAGCCUGACGGAGCAAUACCGCGUGAGGGAGGAAGGCUCUUGGGUUGUAAACCUCUUUUCUCAAGGAAUAAAAAAAUGAAGGUACUUGAGGAAUAAGCAUCGGCUAACUCCGUGCCAGCAGCCGCGGUAAUACGGAGGAUGCAAGCGUUAUCCGGAAUGAUUGGGCGUAAAGGGUCCGCAGGUGGCAGUGAAAGUCUGCUGUCAAAGAAUGAGGCUCAACCUCAUCAAGGCAGUGGAAACUACACAGCUAGAGUACGGUCGGGGUAGAAGGAAUUCCUGGUGUAGCGGUGAAAUGCGUAGAAAUAG
rnacentral:rRNA from 1 species